UACGUAGGGCGCAAGCGUUAUCCGGAAUUAUUGGGCGUAAAGCGUGCGUAGGCGGUUUGUUAAGUCUGUUGUGAAAUCCCCGGGCUCAACCUGGGAAUGGCAAUGGAUACUGGCAAGCUAGAGUGUGAUAGAGGAUGGUGGAAUUCCCGGUGUAGCGGUGAAAUGCGUAGAGAUCGGGAGGAACAUCAGUGGCGAAGGCGGCCAUCUGGAUCAACACUGACGCUGAGGCACGAAAGCGUGGGGAGCAAACAGG
rnacentral:rRNA from 1 species